GUGAACUGGCUGUCAAAACUCCUGCAAAUGUAACAACCCAGGACAAUCCAAUCUGUGGGUGGCAUCUCCCUGGAGCCUGGGUCCUCUCUCUGAGCUGGCUUACCUGUCCGUCUGGAACCUGGUUAGGCCAUGGAUGAAACUCAGCUUCGAUGCCCAUUGCAGAGGGAAGUAAAGGAUGCUUGCACUGAGUGACUGCUAGUGCGGGAGUUUUACAAAGCACUGCAGUGACCUCAUGUGAGACUCAAGUCUAAAGUGCAGUGGGCAAGCCCACACAGCAAGCAGCUUCUAGAGCCAGCCUCAGGCCACCCAGCCUUGAGAGCCUCUGGGAGGAGGUUUUCUAGCAGGCUUGGUGGUGGACCGGUUGGGCCAUCUUCCAGGAGCGGGUCACUGGCUCUAUGGGUGUCGAGAGGAAAGGCGAGGUCUAUUUUUUGGCCAGGAUGAAUCCAGCAGGUGUGUUCUGUGACUGCGUGGCUUCUGGCAUCACCACAGCAGUCACGAUGCUGAAGGCUGCGGCAUUGUGAGGACCCCUGGGCUGCUCUUUGCAAUUGCAGUGACCUUCUUCCUCCUCCUAAGCUGUCUCCACGUCUCCAAGUCUGUUAUUUCAAGAAUCGUAUAUAAAUGGAAUCAUACACCUUGUAA